UCCCUGGUAUUUUAGAUGGUAAAGAAUCUGCCUUCAAUGAAGGAGACCCAGGUUCAGUUCCUGGGUUGGGAA
rnacentral:tRNA from 1 species